rnacentral:rRNA from 1 species
GGGAGAGCGUCUCGGAUCAUUGACAACUAAAUAGGAGCAGCAACGUCCAAUUAAAGGGCCCUGAUCACGAAACACAGGAACAAAAUGAAUCUGGAGAGUUUGAUCCUGGCUCAGAACGAACGCUGGCGGCGUGCCUAACACAUGCAAGUCCAACGUGAAAGGGGAGCAAUCCCCCGGUAGGGUGGCAAACGGGUGAGUAAUACAUGGGUGAUCUACCUUAGGGAUGGGGAUAUCCUUCCGAAAGGAGGGGCAAUACCGAAUAUUGUCCGGAGCCGUGAAGGGUUCCGGGGAAAGGGAGGCCUCUGAUACAAGCUUUCGCCUUAAGAUGAGCCCAUGGCCCAUCAGCUAGUUGGUAGGGUAAAGGCCUACCAAGGCUACGACGGGUCGCUGGUCUGAGAGGACGACCAGCCACACUGGCACUGAGAUACGGGCCAGACUCCUACGGGAGGCAGCAGUGAGGAAUAUUGCGCAAUGGGGGAAACCCUGGACGCAGCAACGCCGCGUGUGGGAAGAAGGCC